UAAGGAAGGUGCAUAUCCCCCUACCGUUUGGAAUAAUUUGCUGUCAUUUGGGGAUGACUUGACAGACCCAUUGAUACAGCAACAGAAAAAAUAAAAUGCAAAGCAAUAGUUAAGUAUCUGAAAUUAUUACUGUCCCCAUAAGUGAGAACAAUAAAACUUAGGUGGGUAAGGCAUUUUGACUAAACGUGGUGAUUUCCUCCAUCUUCUUCAAUCUUUAACUUUUCCAGAUCACAGAUGCCACUUGCCCUGGAGGCUUUGGCCAGAGGACAGGAGAUUACCAAAGAUAGUGGGCCUGUGUGAUUUCAUAAUUCAAGAAGGUCGAUGUAGAUACUCAGAUAUUUAGUUUACUUCUUCUCUGGAAAAUCCCAGGAUUUGUAGAUCCUCCCAGAGAAAACAUCAAUCCUAAUGAACUUUUCAAACUUCUCUGUGAACAAUGUAAAAGCUAGAUUCCAGCUUUAAGCACCACUAUACCAGACUGCCACCCCUGAAGCAACCUCUUUUUCCUUGGUUGGUGGUUGUAGCCUCCCUGAAGUUAGAAGAUGUGUGGGACCUUGCCUCCAAGAUUCUGAGUACAAAACUGCCUCCUAGGUAAACCUACC